CCGUGACACUGCUCUAAUCCCACCUCUGGGUGUACCAGAUACCUCUCGCUCCUGCCUUGGCCCUUUAGUAUUUUGAUACUAGCUGCUUUGUCAAAACUCCUUCAAGACCCCAGCUAGGAUACUGCCUCCUCCAGGAAGCUUAUUCUACUAUCUGAAUAUUUGUGUUCCUCCAAGAUUCUAUUCAUCUGCUCAAACCUAAACCCCCAAGGCGCUGGUAUUAGAAGGUGAGGCCUUAGAGCAGGGAUUAGGUCAUGAGGGUAAAGCUCUCAUGAAUAGGAUUAGUGACCUUAUAAAAGAGGCUCCAGGGAGCUGCCUUGCCACUUUCACAUGUGAGGACAUGGUGAGAAGACAGCAAUCUGUGAACCAGACAGCAGGCCCUCACCAGGCACCAAAUCAACUGAUGCCUUGACCUUGGACUUCUCAGCCUCCAGAACUGCUAAGGAAGGCCUUGUACUGGUUUUAGAGCCCUGGACGGAGCUCCAGGUGACAUGGGCCUUCCUGGUUCUACCACCGACCUGCUGGGGGUUUCAGCAAGCCUUCACCUUCCACGUUGGCGUUCUCAGCUCUAAGAAAAGGAAGUUGAUUUCCAUGAGAGGUGAUCAAACUGUGCUGUAGAAACCUCAGCGAUUCCACAGAACAUUAGAGUACCUCUGCCAAGCAGAAUUCUCCACAUGGAGAAACCUCCCCUCUUACUGAUUUUAUAUGCCAUGCAUGUCAACGCUCUGGGGAAGAUUUUUUGCUUGAGAAAAAAAAAAAAUUCUUGCUGAUUAAAGAAAAACAACCCUGGAAAGUGCUGAAUAUGGUAUCUAUGCAUUUAUUAUGGAAAUCUAGAUAGUUUGCACUGAGAUCAUAGAUGGUUCUCAUAGAAUGGGACUAGGAGGAUUCAAGGAAAGAAGACCUGCUUCCUGUUUCCCAGCCCGUAAACCCUUGCUGUUGUUUUCAAGAUUUUUAUGAUCCUUUCUGGGCUGUGAUGAGAGGGCCUGGCAGGGGAGCCGGCUGCCUCCUUAUCGAAGACUCCCUGCCUCAGUGCCUAGAGCCAGGCUCAGCCCUGGUGAGGAGGGACAAUCCUGGCUGGGUAGGUCAGGCAGCUAAAAGUUGGGGGUCAGGUCCCCUACUUCAGCGGUCCCUAACCUUUUUGGCAUCAGGGAAGACAAAAAUCGGAAGACAAUUUUUCCACAAACUGGAGAUGGAGGGAUGGUUUCGGGAUGACUCAAGCACAUUACAUUUUUGGUGCACUUUAUUUCUAUUAUUAUUACGUUGUAAUAUAUAAUGAAAUAAUGAUCUAACUCACCAUAAUGUAGAAUCAGUGGGAGCCCUGAGCUUGUUUGCCUGCAACUAGAUGGUCCCACCUUCAGGGGAUGAGAGACAGUGAUAGAUCGUCAGGCAUUAGAUUCUCAUAAGGAGCACACAACCAAGAUCUCUUGAAUGAGCAAGGGCUCGCAUGCACAAUGGGGCUCGCACUCCUGUGAGAAUCUAAUGCUGCCGCUGAUCUGACAGGAGGUGAAGCUCAGGCAGUAGUGCCAGCAAUGGGGAGUGGCUGUAAAUACAGAUGAAGCUUUACUGGCCUGCUGCUCACCUUCUGCUGUG
rnacentral:lncRNA from 10 species